rnacentral:rRNA from 1 species
AUUGAACGCUAGCGGGAUGCUUUACACAUGCAAGUCGAACGAGUGGCGGACGGGUGAGUAAUGUAUCGGAACGUGCCCGGUAGCGGGGGAUAACUACUCGAAAGAGUGGCUAAUACCGCAUACUAUCGGAGCGGCCGAUAUCGGAUUAGCUAGUUGGUGGGGUAAAGGCUCACCAAGGCAACGAUCCGUAGCUGGUUUGAGAGGACGACCAGCCACACUGGGACUGAGACACGGCCCAGACUCCUACGGGAGGCAGCAGUGGGGAAUAUUGGACAAUGGGGGAAACCCUGAUCCAGCCAUGCCGCGUGUAUGAGAAGGCCUUCGGGUUGUAAAGUACUUUUGGCAGAGAGGCGGUAUCUGCAGAAGAAGCACCGGCUAACUCCGUGCCAGCAGCCGCGGUAAUUC